AAGCACUGAUUCAAUUACGACGGUUUAUUUGAUACUUUUUGUUUUCAUUUCAUUCUGCGUCACAAAUUUAUCAUUAUGGUGCUCGGUCGUUGUUUGGGGCUCCAAUCCCACCACACCCAAACCACACACAUAAACCCCACCCUCACCACCCAAGCGAUUCCUAGCGGCGGAGUAGUAGACGCAGCCAUUGUUAAUAUCAACACGCUCUACACCGACGCCCUGUUUCUCGAGCUUCAAUUGGUCGACUGCGCUUCCCACGUGACAAAAGGCGACGAGCAGGUGUGUAGCUCCAAUGGGAUAACCUAUGAUAACCAAGCUGUCGGUUCACGAACGCAGUCUGUGAGACGCUACAGUUCACUGGCCAUACAAUAACAUUGCAAAGCCACGGCACAUGCCCUCACAGCGCAGUCUCCAUCACAAUUCCGACCACAGUCUCCAAUACAACACCGAUUGCAGUAUCCAACACCACUUGCCCCGAAUGCGACAUGAUGUUCAAUCUCUUCUGUAGCAACGUCGCGUCCUUAACGUGCCCCGGUGAAUUGAAACUCAUAUGUGGAUCGGAUAGACAGGUCUAUUUCAAUAUGUAAGUCACCAAAAACAUGAGUGCGUUGUUGGCAAUAUUUGUUAAUUAUGACAGGCUAGUAUUCGUUUUUAUUAAAAUAAUCACCGAACUCAAUAUGUUCCAACACUUGAAAUAUUAAAAGCAUUUGUGGUUGAACAAAUUUUCAAACGGAAAAUGUGUAUAAGGCACAAACAUAAUUAUUAAGUAUUGCGGUGUCACGUAAUAAAAUCAAACAUGAAAAUGUUUACACUGUAAGAAUGACUGCCCUGUAAGCCUUUUACAUAUUAAUAAAUAAUCAAAUGCGACAAUGAAGAUUUAAACAUAAUUUGGUUCUUUCCGCUUAAACAAUAGAACGUUGAU